rnacentral:rRNA from 1 species
CCUACGGGCGGCAGCAGUGAGGAAUAUUGGUCAAUGGACGAGAGUCUGAACCAGCCAAGUAGCGUGAAGGAGGACUGCCCUAUGGGUUGUAAACUUCUUUUAUAUGGGAAUAAAACGUUCCACGUGUGGGAUUUUGUAUGUACCAUAUGAAUAAGGAUCGGCUAACUCCGUGCCAGCAGCCGCGGUAAUACGGAGGAUCCGAGCGUUAUCCGGAUUUAUUGGGUUUAAAGGGAGCGUAGGUGGAUUGUUAAGUCAGUUGUGAAAGUUUGCGGCUCAACCGUAAAAUUGCAGUUGAAACUGGCAGUCUUGAGUACAGUAGAGGUGGGCGGAAUUCGUGGUGUAGCGGUGAAAUGCUUAGAUAUCACGAAGAACUCCGAUUGCGAAGGCAGUUCACUGGACUGCAACUGACACUGAGGCUCGAAAGUGUGGGUAUCAAACAGGAUUAGAUACCCGUGUAGUC